rnacentral:lncRNA from 1 species
ACUCUGCCUCUUCAACACGGAUGGCUCCUCCCGCUGCCGCUGCUGCUCCAGGAGACAGGUUCUUAUGCAGGAAUGAAAGACAUGGAGGGGAAGAGGGGGGCCAGCUCCCUGAGUCCUGUGUCCACCAGCUGCUGCUAAAUACCUCUCAGAAACUCUGCUUCUAGCUAAGGGGACCUACUUCUCUCGGGAAUCUCAAUACUUGGAACAAGAACCUCGUGGAUGGACCCUUUGGCAAAAUGAAUUGGACCAACCAUAGGUUCCAGGACUGGAGAGCCAGCAAUGCCUCCCUGGACAAUCCCACUCAAUUACUCUGCUCAGAGAACAUCACCACCCUGAAGCCAGAGACUAACCCUGAAGGACUCAGCAGUCUAAGCACAGCAGCCACAGCCCUUUCUGGCUCCAUUGCUGUGGUGGCCCCCAUCUUGCUCCUGGUGGGUCUCUUGUCCAUGACCCUGAAGAAAUGGAGGCAUGAGAGACUAUUUAAGAAACAACUGAGGCAUCAGGCCAACUUUCCCCACUAGUCCUCGGAUCUUUCCCGCCAUGCCGAUGCCAUAUAUUCCAACGUGAUCAACCUGGCCCCCCAGAAGGAGGAUGACUUUGCUGUCUAUGCCAACAUGCCCCCUUUUCAUCACCCCAGGAGGACAUCGCCAGACCAAGUGGAAUAUGCCUCCAUUGAAUUCCACUGAUGGGAAGCCAACGAGAUGCUCAGAGUGGGGGUCAGACCUGGCCCAGCUGGAUCGUGGCAUACCCUUUGCUUUAGAUUUAUAGGCCGGGAGCAGUGGCUCACACUUGUAUCCCUGGAGGCUAAGGCAGGCAGAUCAUGAGGUCAAGAUAUCGAGACCAUCCUGGCCAACAUGGUGAAACCCCAUCUCUACUAAAGAUACAAAAAUUAGCCAGACGUGGUGGCACAUGCCUGUAAUCCCAGCUACUUGGGAGGCUGAGGCAGGAGAAUCACUUGAACCCAGGGGGCGGAAGUUGCAGUGAGCCAAGAUCACACCACUGCACUCCAGCCUGGCAACAGAGUAAGACUCCAUCUCUAAAAAAAAUACAUAAAUAAAAUAAAACAAAAAACAAACAAAAAAACAUAAAAACAUAUUCUGAGGG